UACAGAGGUCCCAAGCGUUGUUCGGAUUUACUGGGCGUAAAGGGUGCGUAGGCGGUAAGGUAAGUCUGGUGUGAAAUCUCGGAGCUUAACUCCGAAACUGCAUCGGAUACUAUCUUGCUCGAGGGUUGGAAGGGGGACUGGAAUUCUCGGUGUAGCAGUGAAAUGCGUAGAUAUCGAGAGGAACACCAGUGGCGAAGGCGAGUCCCUGGACAACUCCUGACGCUGAGGCACGAAAGCCAGGGGAGCAAACGGG
rnacentral:rRNA from 1 species